rnacentral:rRNA from 1 species
UACAGAGGUCCCGAGCGUUGUUCGGAUUCACUGGGCGUAAAGGGUGCGUAGGCGGUUUGAUAAGUCUGAUGUGAAAUCCCGCAGCUUAACUGCGGAACGGCAUUGGAAACUAUCUGACUAGAGGAAUGGAGGGGAGACUGGAAUACUUGGUGUAGCAGUGAAAUGCGUAGAUAUCAAGUGGAACACCAGUGGCGAAGGCGAGUCUCUGGACAUUUCCUGACGCUGAGGCACGAAAGCCAGGGGAG